rnacentral:rRNA from 1 species
GUCGCCUGUGGAGGAGCCUGCGUUCGAUUAGCUAGUUGGUGGGGUAAAGGCCUACCAAGGCGAUGAUCGAUAGCUGGUUUGAGAGGAUGAUCAGCCACACUGGGACUGAGACACGGCCCAGACUCCUACGGGAGGCAGCAGUGGGGAAUAUUGGACAAUGGGGGCAACCCUGAUCCAGCAAUGCCGCGUGUGUGAAGAAGGUCUUCGGAUUGUAAAGCACUUUCGACGGGGACGAUGAUGACGGUACCCGUAGAAGAAGCCCCGGCUAACUUCGUGCCAGCAGCCGCGGUAAUACGAAGGGGGCUAGCGUUGCUCGGAAUGACUGGGCGUAAAGGGCGUGUAGGCGGUUUACACAGUCAGAUGUGAAAUCCCCGGGCUUAACCUGGGAGCUGCAUUUGAUACGUGUAGACUAGAGUGUGAGAGAGGGUUGUGGAAUUCCCAGUGUAGAGGUGAAAUUCGUAGAUAUUGGGAAGAACACCG